ensembl:snRNA U6 U6 spliceosomal RNA
GCACUUGCUUUGACAGUACAUAUACUAAAAUUGGAACGAUACAGAGAAGAUUGGCAUGGCCCUCAUGCAAGGAUGACAUGAAAAUUUGAGAAGCAUUCCAUAUUUUC